rnacentral:rRNA from 1 species
UACGUAGGAGGCAAGCGUUGUCCGGAAUUACUGGGCGUAAAGCGCGUGUAGGUGGUGGGACAAGUCUGCUGUGAAAGCGCCUGGCUUAACCGGGCGAGGUCGGCGGAAACUGUUCGACUCGAGGACGGUAGAGGGGGGUGGAAUUCCCGGUGGAGCGGUGAAAUGCGUAGAGAUCGGGAAGAACGCCAAGGGCGAAGGCACUCUGCUAGGCCUGAUUUCGCGACUGACACUCAGGGACGAGAGCCAGGGGAGCGAAUGGG